rnacentral:rRNA from 1 species
GACGAACGCUGGCGGCGUGCUUAACACAUGCAAGUCGAACGGUGAAGCGAGUGCUUGCACUCGUGGAUCAGUGGCGAACGGGUGAGUAACACGUGAGUAACCUGCCCAUCACUCUGGGAUAAGCACUGGAAACGGUGUCUAAUACUGGAUACGACCAACCCUUGCAUGGGGUGUUGGUGGAAAGAUUUAUCGGUGAUGGAUGGACUCGCGGCCUAUCAGCUUGUUGGCGGGGUAAUGGCCCACCAAGGCGAUGACGGGUAGCCGGCCUGAGAGGGUGACCGGCCACACUGGGACUGAGACACGGCCCAGACUCCUACGGGAGGCAGCAGUGGGGAAUAUUGCACAAUGGGCGAAAGCCUGAUGCAGCGACGCCGCGUGAGGGAUGACGGCCUUCGGGUUGUAAACCUCUUUCAGCAGGGAAGAAGCGAAAGUGACGGUACCUGCAGAAGAAGCACCGGCUAACUACGUG